CCAGACUCCUACGGGAGGCAGCAGUGGGGGAUAUUGCACAAUGGGGGGAACCCUGAUGCAGCAACGCCGCGUGAGUGAGGAAGUAUUUCGGUAUGUAAAGCUCUAUCAGCAGGGAAUAGAAAAGAAGGUACCUGAAAAAGAAGCCCCGGCUAACUACGUGCCAGCAGCCGCGGUAAUACGUAGGGGGCAAGCGUUAUCCGGAAUUACUGGGUGUAAAGGGAGCGCAGACGGCAGUGCAAGUCUGGAGUGAAAGCCCGGGGCUCAACCCCGGGACUGCAUUUGAAACUGUCAGGCUGGAGUGCAGGAGAGGUAAGUGGAAUUCCUAGUGUAGCGGUGAAAUGCGUAGAUAUUAGGAGGAACACCAGUGGCGAAGGCGGCUUACUGGACUGUAACUGACGUUGAGGCUCGAAAGCGUGGGGAGCAAACAGGAUUAGAUACCCUUGUA
rnacentral:rRNA from 1 species